UCAUGAGUGAUUUUAUCUUUGUUAGAGAAACAGAUCCCUUGUGAUGUCACCUCACUCACUACAUUCCAACAGACUCUUCAACACCUAACAGAAGCUCAGCAUAAAGAGAAGAGAAAUCCCAUAUUCCAUCUUGGAAAUUUAGUACUAGUAAAAUCUCUCCUCUCAUCAUCUCCUUCCCUAGGUCCAACUUGGAAAGGACCAUAUAUUUUGUACCUGUCAACUCUAUCAGCUGUCAAGAUAGCAAACCUGGACUCCUGGAUAUACCAGGCUUAACUCCAGCCUCAGGAACCAGAGACUAUCUCUGAGUUUUAACAAUCAUCUGAAUAUUUCUGUGAAUACAUAGAAGACUUAACAUUCUUGCUCAAAAAGAAAACAAAGCAUCCUCAUUUCAAGGAGAAGAUUGGAAUAAACUACAAGACUUACAAGACUACAUUGAUGAGACAUGAGAAAGCUCAGUAAUUCACAAUUUACUCCAUCAUUACAAGAUACAGCCAUUGGAACAAAUGGCAGAAUGGAAGAUUUCAGAAGGAAUUUCAGAAGGAAUCAGUUUCUGAAUGGACAUCAAUCCACAUGCUAAAAUGGAUUUCAGAAAAUGUGGGUUCACUGAAGCAGAAUCUUCUUACAACAAAAAUACAAAAAUAAUACAUCUACAUGAGUAGUUUUGAAUUAUUCCUGCUGUAAUACUGGCACUAAAGUGUCCUAUAUGUAAUAGUGUAUCAGUAUAGCAUAUAUAAACUACCUUGGUUAUAAACCUUAAUAAAGUAUUUUAUUCCCUACCAGCUGGCAUCUGUUCCUAAAAAGAAAAAAAAAAACUGGUUAAAUAUGCUGUUGUCUACACACAAUCAUUUUUCAAUG
rnacentral:lncRNA from 1 species